AUUUUUUUAAUUUUUUUUAAAGCAAACUACAGAUAAAUUUUUUAAUCAUGACUUGACUUGGAAUAAUAUUUAGUUUUUGAAGUUUUAUAAAAACAAAUAUAUUAUUGAUUGGUGGAAUCUUCCAGUCAGUCUUCUCAAAGCAAAUGCAUUGGUUGCAAAUGCAUAUGCUCUUCUUAUCUACAUACCAGUUAAAUCAACGGGCAGGGUGGAUUGUUUGAAAUGUCACAUAUUUGGAAUCCGACAUUAGUUACUGUUCCUUACUGUUAGCAGUUUCUUUUCUGUUCUUUUCUUUUCUUCUCCUCCUUUUUCCUUCUUUUGAAUUGUCUUUGUGUAUUAUAGACUCUUGUUCAAUCUUCUGCAAUAGCUAAAUCUUACUGGUAGGAGGCCUGUAUUACAAAAUUGUCAGCUAAUGUUAAAUUGUUAAUACAAACAAAAUAUUUUUAUUCUU